rnacentral:rRNA from 1 species
GACGAACGCUGGCGGCGUGCCUAAUACAUGCCAGUUGAGCGCUGAAGGUUGGUACUUGUACCAACUGGAUGAGCAGCGAACGGGUGAGUAACGCGUGGGGAAUCUGCCUUUGAGCGGGGGACAACAUUUGGAAACGAAUGCUAAUACCGCAUAAAAACUUUAAACACAAGUUCUAAGUUUGAAAGAUGCAAUUGCAUCACUCAAAGAUGAUCCCGCGUUGUAUUAGCUAGUUGGUGAGGUAAAGGCUCACCAAGGCGAUGAUACGUAGCCGACCUGAGAGGGUGAUCGGCCACAUUGGGACUGAGACACGGCCCAAACUCCUACGGGAGGCAGCAGUAGGGAAUCUUCGGCAAUGGACGAAAGUCUGACCGAGCAACGCCGCGUGAGUGAAGAAGGUUUUCGGAUCGUAAAACUCUGUUGGUAGAGAAGAACGUUGGUGAGAGUGGAAAGCUCAUCAAGUGACGGUAACUACCCAGAAAGGGACGGCUAACUACGUG